GCCAGACCGCAGGUAACGUUCUUUUUGUUUUUACUAAUCACAGCAUUAACUUUGUAAUUAGAGGGUUUUUUGGGAAGUCACAUUUCAAGUACUACAAAUGUAGUACUUUGAGUUGUUUGGUGUAGCCACUUUAGAAUGGCUAGCGUAAAUCGGGACAGGCCAAGGUCAGGGGAAUCCAGAAGUCAGAGCAGUCGGUAAAACAAGCCAAUAGGUCUGUACAGGCUUAGUCAGGACAAGCAGAGGUCAGAAAUCCAUGGAAUUUAAGCAAACAAACUGCCGAAGCACCAUACAGAGUGAUUUAAUUCAAGUUCAGCUGUAUGGUAGACUUUGAAACAGUCUGUUAUGCAGAGGGCAGGUAGAGAUGGGCAGGUUGGGCAAUAAUAACUGGAGUCCUUUUGGACUCCUUUCUUGUAGCAAACAUGACACUUUCUUUGGGGAGCUUUUUUACGAGUGGU